rfam:Macrostomum lignano uti_cns_0007864, whole genome shotgun sequence.
ACGAUUGUAGUUUAGUGGUUACAGCGUCAGGCUCACGACUUGAAGGUCGGGGUUCGAUUCCUGAUCCUA